CGCCAGCAGCCGCGGUAAUACGUAGGGGGCGAGCGUUGUCCGGAAUAACUGGGCGUAAAGGGAGCGUAGGCGGUUGAUUAAGUUGUCUGUGAAAUGUCCGGGCUUAACUCGGGAGGGUCAGACAAAACUGGUUGACUAGCGUGCAGGAGAGGAAAGCGGAAUUUCUGGUGUAGCGGUGAAAUGCGCAGAUAUCAGGAGGAACAUCGGUGGCGAAGGCGGCUUUCUGGACUGUAACGGACGCUGAGGCUCGAGAGCGUAGGGAGCAAACAGGAUUAGAUACCCUGGUAGUCUACGCAGUAAACGAUGGAUACUAGGUGUGGGAGGUAUCGACCCCUUCCGUGCCGGAGUUAACACAAUAAGUAUCCCGCCUGGGGAGUACGGCCGCAAGGUUGAAACUCAAAGGAAUUGACGGGGGCCCGCACAAGC
rnacentral:rRNA from 1 species